UUAAACCUGCAGUGUCCACUGUAACACCUGCAGUGUCCACUGUAACACCAGCAGUGUCCACUAACACCUACAGUGUCCACUGUAACACCAGCAGUGUCCACUGUAACACCUGCAGUGUCCACUGUAACACCAGCAGUGUCCACUAACACCUACAGUGUCCACUGUAACACCAGCAGUGUCCACUGUAACACCUGCAGUGUCCACUGUAACACCUGCAGUGUCCACUGUAACACCUGCAGUGUCCACUGUAACAUCUGCAGUGUCCACUGUAACACCAGCAGUGUCCACUGUAACAUCUGCAGUGUCCACUGUAACACCUACAGUGUCAGCAGCACGUCCUGACACUAGUGUUACACAAGGGGUUAAUGUAGCAUUUUUUGCUGAGCCAGCACACACCAUCAUGGCUGAGGCAGCACACCCCAGCAACCCUCAUGUCCUCAGAACAGAUGAUGAAUCACUGGAACCAGCAGGUGGUUGUGAGUUUAUUGCCCGAGCCUACCAGCUGGAACUGUUUGAACAAGCCAAGAAACAAAACUCCAUUCUUGUUCUUGGUACAGGUUCUGGCAAGACCUUCAUAUCUGUUCUUCUUAUCAAGGAGCUCGCU